rnacentral:rRNA from 1 species
UACGGAGGGUGCAAGCGUUAUCCGGAUUCACUGGGGUUAAAGGGUGCGUAGGUGGGCAGGUAAGUCAGUGGUGAAAUCUCCGGGCUUAACCCGGAAACUGCCGUUGAUACUAUCUGUCUUGAAUGUAGUGGAGGUGAGCGGAAUAUGUCAUGUAGCGGUGAAAUGCUUAGAUAUGACAUAGAACAUCGAUUGCGAAGGCAGCUCGCUACACUAUGAUUGACACUGAGGCACGAAAGCGUGGGGAUCAAACAGG